GACGAACGCUGGCGGCGUGCUUAACGCAUGCAAGUCGAACGGAAAGGCCCUGCCUUUGUGGGGUGCUCGAGUGGCGAACGGGUGAGUAACACGUGAGUAACCUGCCCUUGACUUUGGGAUAACUUCAGGAAACUGGGGCUAAUACCGGAUAGGAGCUCCUGCUGCAUGGUGGGGGUUGGAAAGUUUCGGCGGUUGGGGAUGGACUCGCGGCUUAUCAGCUUGUUGGUGGGGUAGUGGCUUACCAAGGCUUUGACGGGUAGCCGGCCUGAGAGGGUGACCGGCCACAUUGGGACUGAGAUACGGCCCAGACUCCUACGGGAGGCAGCAGUGGGGAAUAUUGCACAAUGGGCGGAAGCCUGAUGCAGCAACGCCGCGUGCGGGAUGACGGCCUUCGGGUUGUAAACCGCUUUCGCCUGUGACGAAGCGUGAGUGACGGUAAUGGGUAAAGAAGCACCGGCUAACUACGUG
rnacentral:rRNA from 1 species